ensembl:miRNA
UUUUAUUUUUGGUCUGGCUGUUGUGGUGUGCAAAACCCUGUACAUUGCUAUUUUGCCACACUGCAACACCUUACAGAUGUGGAA